rnacentral:rRNA from 1 species
UACGAAGGGGGCUAGCGUUGCUCGGAAUCACUGGGCGUAAAGGGUGCGUAGGCGGGUCUUUAAGUCAGGGGUGAAAUCCUGGAGCUCAACUCCAGAACUGCCUUUGAUACUGAAGAUCUUGAGUUCGGGAGAGGUGAGUGGAACUGCGAGUGUAGAGGUGAAAUUCGUAGAUAUUAGGAAGAAACACCAGUGGCGAAGGCGGCUCACUGGCCCGAUACUGACGCUGAGGCACGAA